rnacentral:rRNA from 1 species
UACGUAGGGUGCGAGCGUUAAUCGGAAUUACUGGGCGUAAAGCGUGCGCAGGCGGUUUUGUAAGCCAGAUGUGAAAUCCCCGGGCUUAACCUGGGAAUGGCAUUUGGGACUGCAAGGCUGGAGUGUGGCAGAGGAGACUGGAAUUCCUGGUGUAGCAGUGGAAAUGCGUAGAUAUCAGGAGGAAUACCGAUGGCGAAGGCAGGUCUCUGGGCUAACACUGACGC